rnacentral:tRNA from 3 species
GGAGAGUUGUCCGAGAGGCCGAAGGAGCAGCAUUGGAAAUGCUGUAUACGGGUUAAAGCCUGUAUCAAGGGUUCGAAUCCCUUACUCUCCG